rnacentral:misc_RNA from 1 species
GAUGAAGAACGUAGCGAAAUGCGAUAAGUAAUGUGAAUUGCAGAAUUCAGUGAAUCAUCGAAUCUUUGAACGCACAUUGCGCCCGCCAGCAUUCUGGCGGGCAUGCCUGUUCGAGCGUCAUUUCAACCCUCGAGCCCCCCCGGGGGCCUCGGUGUUGGGGGACGGCACACCAGCCGCCCCCGAAAUGCAGUGGCGACCCCGCCGCAGCCUCCCCUGCGUAGUAGCACACACCUCGCACCGGAGCGCGGAGGCGGUCACGCCGUAAAACGCCCAACUUUCUUAGAGUUGACCUCGGAUCAGGUAGGAAUACCCGCUGAACUUAAGCAUAUCAAUAAGCGGAGA